UAGCAGCUAAAGUGAGCAUCUGGGGAC
rnacentral:piRNA from 1 species